rnacentral:rRNA from 1 species
UACGUAGGCAGCGAGCGUUGUUCGGAGUUACUGGGCGUAAAGCGUGCGUAGGCGGUUGUCUAAGUCUGGUGUGAAAUCUCUCGGCUCAACUGGGAGGGUGCGCCGGAAACUGGAUGACUGGAGUGCCGGAGAGGUAAGCGGAAUUCCUGGUGUAGCGGUGAAAUGCGUAGAGAUCAGGAGGAACACCUGUGGUGUAGACAGCUUACUGGACGGUGACUGACGCUGAGGCACGAAAGCGUGGGUAGCAAACAGG